GAUGAACGCUGGCGGCGUGCCUAAUACAUGCCAGUCGAGCGAACGGACGAGAAGCUUGCUUCUCUGAUGUUAGCGGCGGACGGGUGAGUAACACGUGGAUAACCUACCUAUAAGACUGGGAUAACUUCGGGAAACCGGAGCUAAUACCGGAUAAUAUUUUGAACCGCAUGGUUCAAAAGUGAAAGACGGUCUUGCUGUCACUUAUAGAUUGAUCCGCGCUGCAUUAGCUAGUUGGUAAGGUAACGGCUUACCAAGGCAACGAUGCAUAGCCGACCUGAGAGGGUGAUCGGCCACACGGGAACUGAGACACGGAACAGACUCCUACGGGAGGCAGCAGUAGGGAAUGUUCCGCAAUGGGCGAAAGCAUGACGGAGCAACGCCGCGUGAGUGAUGAAGGUCUUCGGAUCGUAAAACUCUGUUAUUAGGGAAGAACAUAUGUGUAAGUAACUGUGCACAUCUUGACGGUACCUAAUCAGAAAGCCACGGCUAACUACGUG
rnacentral:rRNA from 1 species